GGGGGUGUGUAAAGAUGCCGCCCGGGAGAGCGCAGCGUUCGCAACGCUGAGGUAGAGGGUUCGAUCCCCUUCGUCUCCACCA
rnacentral:tRNA from 1 species